rnacentral:rRNA from 1 species
GAUGAACGCUGGCGGCGUGCCUAAUACAUGCAAGUCGAGCGAACGGACGAGAAGCUUGCUUCUCUGAUGUUAGCGGCGGACGGGUGAGUAAUACGUGGAUAACCUACCUAUAAGACUGGGAUAACUUCGGGAAACCGGAGCUAAUACCGGAUAAUAUUUUGAACCUCAUGGUUCAAAAGUGAAAGCCGGUCUUGCUGUCACUUAUAGAUGGAUCCUCGCUGCAUUAGCUAGUUGGUAAGGUAACGGCUUACCAAGGCAACGAUGCAUAGCCGACCUGAGAGGGUGAUCGGCCACACUGGAACUGAGACACGGUCCAGACUCCUACGGGAGGCAGCAGUAGGGAAUCUUCCGCAAUGGGCGAAAGCCUGACGGAGCAACGCCGCGUGAGUGAUGAAGGUCUUCGGAUCGUAAAACUCUGUUAUUAGGGAAGAACAUAUGUGUAAGUAACUGUGCACAUCUUGACGGUACCUAAUCAGAAAGCCACGGCUAACUACGUG